rnacentral:rRNA from 1 species
GGCGGGCUUCAUACAUGCAAGUCGAGCGGAAAGGCCCCUUCGGGGGUACUCGAGCGGCGACGGGUGAGUACAAGUGGACACCUGCCCUUUGGUGGGGGAUAACCCCGGGAAACUGGGGCUAAUACCGCAUGCGGUCCGCGAGACUCCGGUCUUGCGGAAGAAAGGGGCUUCUGGCCUCGCCAAAGGAUGGGUCCGCUCCCCAUUAGCUAGUUGGUGGGAUAACAGCCCACCAAGGCAACGAUGGGUAGCCGAGCUGAGAGGUUGAUCGGCCACACUGGAACUGAGACACGGUCCAGACACCUACGGGUGGCAGCAGUAGGGAAUAUUGCGCAAUGGGCGAAAGCCUGACGCAGCCACGCCGCGUGAGCGACGAAGGCCUUCGGGUCGUAAAGCUCUUUUCUGAGGCAAGAAAAGUCGGGGUAGGAAAUGAUCCCGGCCUGACGGUACCUCAGGAAUAAGGGACGGCUAACUCCGUGCCAGCAGCCGCGGUAAUACGGAGGUCCCAAGCGUUGUUCGGAAUUACUGGGCGUAAAGGGAGCGCAGGCGGACAGGUCAGUGGAAAGUGGAAUCCCGGAGCUCAACUUCGGACGUGCUUUCCAUACUGCCUGUCUUGAGUUCGUGAGAGGAAGGCGGAAUUCCAGGUGUAGCGGUGAAAUGCUUAGAUAUCUGGAGGAACACCCGUGGCGAAAGCGGCCUUCUGGCGCGAAACUGACG